rnacentral:tRNA from 1 species
GGUGAGAUGGCCGAGUGGUUAAAGGCAGCAGACUGUAAAUCUGCCCGCGUAAGCGUACGUAGGUUCGAAUCCUACUCUCACCACCA